rnacentral:rRNA from 1 species
UGGCUCAGAUUGAACGCUGGCGGCAGGCCUAACACAUGCAAGUCGAGCGGAUGACGGGAGCUUGCUCCUUGAUUCAGCGGCGGACGGGUGAGUAAUGCCUAGGAAUCUGCCUGGUAGUGGGGGACAACGUUUCGAAAGGAACGCUAAUACCGCAUACGUCCUACGGGAGAAAGCAGGGGACCUUCGGGCCUUGCGCUAUCAGAUGAGCCUAGGUCGGAUUAGCUAGUUGGUGGGGUAAUGGCUCACCAAGGCGACGAUCCGUAACUGGUCUGAGAGGAUGAUCAGUCACACUGGAACUGAGACACGGUCCAGACUCCUACGGGAGGCAGCAGUGGGGAAUAUUGGACAAUGGGCGAAAGCCUGAUCCAGCCAUGCCGCGUGUGUGAAGAAGGUCUUCGGAUUGUAAAGCACUUUAAGUUGGGAGGAAGGGCAGUAAGUUAAUACCUUGCUGUUUUGACGUUACCGACAGAAUAAGCACCGGCUAACUCUGUGCCAGCAGCCGCGGUAAUACAGAGGGUGCAAGCGUUAAUCGGAAUUACUGGGCGUAAAGCGCGCGUAGGUGGUUUGUUAAGUUGGAUGUGAAAGCCCCGGGCUCAACCUGGGAACUGCAUCCAAAACUGGCAAGCUAGAGUACGGUAGAGGGUGGUGGAAUUUCCUGUGUAGCGGUGAAAUGCGUAGAUAUAGGAAGGAACACCAGUGGCGAAGGCGACCACCUGGACUGAUACUGACACUGAGGUGCGAAAGCGUGGGGAGCAAACAGGAUUAGAUAU